rnacentral:rRNA from 1 species
AUUGAACGCUGGCGGCAGGCCUAACACAUGCAAGUCGAACGAGUGGCGGACGGGUGAGUAAUGUCUGGGAAACUGCCCGAUGGCGGGGGCUCACUACUGGAAACGGUAGCUAAUACCGCAUACAAUCGGAUGUGCCCAGAUGGGAUUAGUGAGUAGGUGGGGUAACGGCUCACCUAGGCGACGGUCCCUAGCUGGUCUGAGAGGAUGACCAGCCACAGUGGAACUGAGACACGGUCCAGACUCCUACGGAGGUGGGCCGGCAGUAAUAUUGCACAAUGGGGGCAAGCCUGAUGCAGCCAUGCGGCGUGUAUGAAGAAGGCCGUCGGGUUUUAGAGUACUUUCAGCGAGGGGGCGUUGCUCGCAGAAGAAGCACAGGCUAACUCCGUGCCAGCCGCCGCGGUAAUUC